UGUCUGUUAAUAUUUAAGUGAGAAGUUUCUUUUUAUUUGUUUUAUUCAGGAAUUAUUUCUUAAAUUAUUAAGUCACACCCGUGACGAGGACAAAAGAAACAGGCGAAGAUUAUGGAUCCAACAAUGUACAGGGAAAUAUUACUGUUCAAGACACGGGGAAAAUACCCCGAGAAGUCCACGAAGGGGGAAAAAUUCAUCAUCCGGAGGCGUGCAGGACACUUAUGUGGUUCAAGACGGCGAGCUCUAUUAUAUACAUAAGAAGGGUACAGAGCCAUCAAUAAAGGUGAAGGUGGUCAAAGGCACUGAAGAGGCAGACAGUCUUUUCCUGGAAUUUCAUGCAAGUGCUAUAGGGGCACACUGUGGCCAACACAGAACUAGAGAGGCAGUUUCCUCCAGAUAUUACUGGCCUGGAAUGAGUUCCGAUAUUGAUAAUUGGGUUACACAGUGCCCUAAAUGUCAGGGGAAGAGGACCACUAUAAAACUAGAAGAAAAAUUCACUCCCAUUGUUGUCAAGGAACCAUGGGAGCUUCUAGGAGUGGACCUUAUUAGUAAAUUGAGCAAGACCCUAAAUGGCAACCAAUAAAUUUGCGUGCUGAUUGAUUACCAAAUGGGUGGAGGCCUUCCCCAUUUCCUCCAAAUCUGCAGAGGAUGUCACAAUGUGCAUAGUAAAGUCCUUUUACACUUUUGGAGCUCCUAAAAGGAUUUUAAUGGACCAAGGGAGAGAAUUCAUUAAUCAGGUGAUAUCUGGUCUUCACUACUUCUAAAUGUUUACUUUACAUGAUCUCUGUAAUUGUAUGCGUUAUUUCAAAUUCCAUAAAUAAUUUUAGCCGUCACCGCUUAUUUUAUUCUGUUUUAAUG